rnacentral:rRNA from 1 species
CGGACGAACGCUGGCGGCGUGCCUAACACAUGCAAGUCGAACGGAGAAAGGGUAGCUUGCUAUCUUUUCUUAGUGGCGGACGGGUGAGUAACGCGUGGGUAACCUGCCCUUUGCAGGGGGAUAACAGUGAGAAAUCACUGCUAAUACCGCAUACCAACUUCUUUCGCAUGAAGGAAGUUUGAAAGAUUUAUCGGCAAAGGAUGGACCCGCGUUGGAUUAGCUAGUUGGUGAGAUAACAGCCCACCAAGGCAACGAUCCAUAGCCGGCCUGAGAGGGUGAACGGCCACACUGGGACUGAGACACGGCCCAGACUCCUACGGGAGGCAGCAGUGGGGAAUAUUGCACAAUGGGCGAAAGCCUGAUGCAGCGACGCCGCGUGAGGGAUGACGGCCUUCGGGUUGUAAACCUCUUUCAGCAGGGAAGAAGCGAAAGUGACGGUACCUGCAGAAGAAGCACCGGCUAACUACGUG